AAGUAGGUAGAUGGGUAGAUGGGUGGGUAGAUGUGUAGAUGGGUAGGUAGAUAGUAGAUGGGUAGGUAGAUGUGUAGAUGGGUAGGUAGAUGUGUAGAUGGUAGAUGGGUAGGUGGAUGGGUAGGUGGGUCAGUAGUUGAAUGUACAUGUUUAGUUAAUCACUGGAGACUUCCUAAUGUGCUUGUUGUAUUGAAAACUUCUUGAUAACUAGAGUUGCAUUUCAGCUACAUCCAUAUUAAAGUAUCCAUAUUAUGAAUAUUUUAAUAACAAUCCCAUUAAUU
rnacentral:lncRNA from 1 species